rnacentral:rRNA from 1 species
AGUGAACGCUGGCGGUAGGCCUAACACAUGCAAGUCGAACGGCAGCACAGUAAGAGCUUGCUCUUACGGGAGGCGAGUGGCGGACGGGUGAGGAAUACAUCGGAAUCUACUUUUUCGUGGGGGAUAACGUAGGGAAACUUACGCUAAUACCGCAUACGACCUACGGGUGAAAGCAGGGGAUCUUCGGACCUUGCGCGAUUGAAUGAGCCGAUGUCGGAUUAGCUAGUUGGCGGGGUAAAGGCCCACCAAGGCGACGAUCCGUAGCUGGUAUGAGAGGAUGAUCAGCCACACUGGAACUGAGACACGGUCCAGACUCCUACGGGAGGCAGCAGUGGGGAAUAUUGGACAAUGGGCGCAAGCCUGAUCCAGCCAUACCGCGUGGGUGAAGAAGGCCUUCGGGUUGUAAAGCCCUUUUGUUGGGAAAGAAAAGCAGCAGGUUAAUACCCCGCUGUUCUGACGGUACCCAAAGAAUAAGCACCGGCUAACUUCGU